CUCGCUACUGAGCGCCACAUCACUGCCUGUCUCAGCAUGGAGGAACAAAUCUGUCGUAAUUAGAAAAAAUACUAAAUAAAUAAAUGCACACAUAAAUAGAUAAAUAAUGAAUAAAAUUUGAGAUCAAAUUGAUGAUAUGCUGCUGUGCUGCACACGCCCCAUAAAAGUACACACAGGAAACAUUGUCAUUGCUUAGUUUUGGAACAGUGAGCCAUUGACUGCACCAGGUGGCUGUGUUAUGAGUGGCUCGCAUUCGACAGACAGUAAGGCAGCGGAUUACCGACAUAUAGCUUUGAAUUUAGAAGACCAAGAGACGGGAGUAGGUGGGCAAGAAGGAGUCGACCGGGCUUGACCAGAAAAUCAUGUUAAUCUCUGCAGUUUUGUCAUCUGAUCUCUUGGAACUUGAUGGCGAUCGAUAUGCAACUACAAGGCAGGACAUUUCUCUGCAUCCAGCUUGAGGCUUGCUACCGGCAGGAGCAUGGAGCACACCAACAGUGAUACAGAGACAGAAUGUUCCUCCUGACCAACAACCUGCAAUCUCUAGAGCAGAGAAGUGUGUCUGCUGUGCUAUGGAACUUUAGAGCAGCACAUCAGAAAACAUGCCACUCUGUUGCCAUCUAUCUGCAGACUGUUCCCUGAGGAAGAAUGCAACUAUCAAGGCUUUCAAAAGCCACAUUUUGGGGAUGACCAAAUGCAAUAAAGUUUUGUAUAAACAACUCAUGUGUA